UGUGUUUAUGAAAAAAUUAUAUUAAUCCUUACACAAUAUUUUUGAUGUGUUCUAAUACUGGAAAUAUUUGUUACUAUUCCAGGUAUAACACGAGGUGGUUAGCGGUCGUCGUUGGAGGUGGUUUGAGGUGGUUACGGGAUGGUUGCGGGUGAUCGAGGAUUCCAAGUAUUUGACAAAAGUGAUACCUUAUCACAUGAACAGUGGCCCACCUGAUAAUCAAGCUUUACAAAUCCUCAUUAAAAUAUUAAAGGCUAUUAAUGAGGAUAAUCCAACGGUGCCCACAUUAUUAACGGACUACGUAUUGAAUGUUCUGUGCCCCACCUAGUGAUCCACUAGUACAUAUCCUCCGACGUGACAACG